AAAUAAAUGAAUAAAAACUCCAUAUCCGUGGUCCAGAGAAAGCACUCGCCUAAAGCAAACACGUCUGGAACACCACCGCAGUCUGAUCUGGAACACCAUCGCAGUCUGAAUGAAAGCCGUAAAGUCAGAGCGCCUUCGGGAGAGGAAGGAGGUGGCCCCCCAGCUCCAGUCUCCUUAACUGCACCCUGGGAAGUCUGCACACUGCCUUUCUUUCUCCCCUCCUGGUGGUCUAAUCUGGAGUCAGAUCCAGCCGCUGGCUCUCGCAGAUGGGGAAGGACUGCCAGCCAACAGGAAAACAACAGGUUUCUAUAAUUCAUCAUUCAGUCCCUUCUGAAAACCUAGAAUGAGAGUUUAGCAGCUCAGAGCCCCGGCCUCUCUCCAUUCUCUCCCCAAACACAUCAGCUUGUUUGUUCCCUUUCAUCCGGGCUCUUCCUGUCGCAUUCUGCCUGUUCAAUGGGGAAAGAGUGAAACCGGAUGGCUGGACCCAGUGCGGGGAAAUGACUUCAGAGCCACCUUUGUUUCCCUCAUUCCUUUGAGCACACUUGGCCCCCGCGUCUCUAUGAAAGGGCUUGUUUGAACCAUUUGGAACAUCUCGCGAGUGGGAGAUGCUAUGGCCAGAAUCGCUCACAUCUUUUCAGGCUGCCUGAGACUGGGUGAAACUGCCAAAUUUUUGCAACAAAACUAACCAUGACAUUGGACAUUGUGUUAUAAAUUAGCCACAGCCUUCCAAGCAAAUUGUCUCUUUUCAUUGUGUCAGUGUAAGCCUUUGAAACGUUUGGCUCCAGCUACUGACUUUGGAGAGACUCAGAGAAUAUUUUUGUUCGGCCCCAAACCAGCCCUUCAGACACUAAGCUGCAUGGGCUAAUAUAUGUAUCUUAGUUGACAGCUCUUCUUACCACACUUACUCAGAAGAUUCCUGUUGGUUAUAUUUCAUUUCUCUGCCUAAAAUUCGGUUAAUGGGCUUCUCAGUUUUGAUGUAGCAGGAACCAUCUCCAUUUGUCUUUGAAACAAAAAGAUGUACUUCUCUUUUCUUAGGCUUUUCACAAUGAUUAUUGGAAGUUUCUUUGAAGGAGGAGUUCUUUUCAGAACUCCAGUGAGAGUUAUUAAAAUGUGUUACUAUGUUGCUCUAGGUGACAUAUAGAAUUUCAGCAUUCAGUACUCACAGAAGCAAUGAAAAUGUCUAUUUCUGUUAAAUCACUCUGUGUUUUUUUUAAAAAAGAAAACAUCUAUGCAUCCACUUGAGCUCUGUCACCAACAGCCAGAUCAAGUGUUUGUUAUUAAAAGGAAAUCUGAAAAAGAAAAACUCAAAUGCUAUCUCAUUUCUUUUCUUACUUUUCGUUUAACUUUUUUCCACAGAGAAGAUGGCAGGGGACACAUUUGGACUUAAAAAGUAAUUUUGAAGUAGUAAACUUCAUUAAAAUUGAGUUGAGAUGACAGUUACCAGAAAUAGAAUAAACCUUCUUACAAUAUGUGCA
ensembl:lncRNA